UGCAACCUCUCUCUUCCCACUAAGCGUCAUUAUAACGCCUUUGGAACCGCAACGGACGAAACCCCCCUCUUAGAAUAACGCGACGGCCUAGCAACCUGAACUCAUGCGGACCCCUGAUCUUUGCCUAAAAUCACAAGACCUCAUCACCACAUUUCCAGAAGAAAACUUCUGGACCUAACAAACGUUCCCCAAAACAGUCAAAUACACGGCCCAGGUUCCCAAUCAUGAUCAUAGAACCUGAAUGAUACCCAAUCACCCAUGCCAAACUCAUGAUCCCCCGGGCUCAUAGCCACACGGUAAGGCAAACCCUCUCAAGCAAUGAGACUCAGUACGCUUGCUCCGAAGGCAACUGUUCCAGAUCCGAUCCUAUGGUCUUCCAUGAAAAGCAAUUGUGACCCAGUUACCUGGGCCCAGGCCACCACUGCGGCCCAAACCGACCUACUAACCAUAAGCUCCGGGCCAACAUUCAAAUUCAAGCACUUUUUUAUGUGCUGUCCAACAAAGAUUUAUGUGCUUAGAAAGAUCGCAGAAUGAGAAGCAAUGAGUAAAUGACACGCAUGUCUUUUGUUGUUAAAGUUAUACCGUAAUUAGACUUCGCUCCUGGAACGCUUAUACUUGUAGCAUAAUCUUGUUAACAAUAUACGUAUAUAAACUUGAACUCACCGAUAUAAGCUUGCUCCACUUUUGUUUUUGCACCUGUGCGCAACCCAUCUGGAAAAGAAGAGAAAUCAAAAGGAGAAGGGAGCAAAUGAAGAGAAAUGUGGAGGAGAAAAGUCUAGAUCGGUUAAAAAGGAGGGGAGAAGCGGUCACGGGCCUUAACUCCAGGCAACACGUGUGACCCAUGAAUCAAUUCGUCCCCGGCGUAUUGUGUGGCCGAGAACGGCGUUUUGACCCGUUCUGACCUAGCUUCGCCGUUAACGGCGUUUUGCAGGGGUUUCCUGGUUUUUGCUGACCCUACUCGUGAGGAGAGCUUGAUCUUUGAGCUUUUAGAAGUUCUGUUUGGCUUCUCCAAGACCUUGCUAACGGGCACGAUGCUGAAGGAAGUGUGAUAAAGAUUAAUGGGAGGAGGAGAAAUUAAUUGGAUUGCUCCACAAAUCAAGGAGGAAAACAAAGCAAUGGAAGUGGACCCUGACCAUGUCGCUGUCCCUGCCACUGUUGCUGCCACAGCUCCUCCUGCUGCACCACAAGUUGAUGAAGAAAACAAGGAUGAAGGCAGCGAGGGUCAAGAGUUUGUUCGUAAGGGGAAAAAAUCUUAUAUUUGGCAACAUUUUACUGGGCUUCCAUUGACUGAGACUAAGGGACAACACAAGGCUAAAUGUAAUCAUUGUUGUAAAAUAUAUAGUUGUCAUCCAACUAAACAUGGCACAAAUUCUCUAAAUAAGCACUUGAAAGCUUAUCAUAAGUGGAUAUUUACAAAAGUAAGGAAAAAGGGACACUUCAUGGUUAUAUGCCUAAAAUUGAUGAAGAAGGGGAAGCUGACAAAGUCUUAAAGGGUAUAGCUUGGAAGAUUGUAAGAAAUCGGUUGCUGAAUUUCUUAUACUUGAUGAAAUGUCAUUUAAUGAAAAUUAUGAAAUCAGGAAAGGGAUUCAAGAUAACUCCUCUUCGAAAGCACGGCUUGAGGGAUAUUUGCCAACUUACACGUGUACUUAUCGAGUUAUUAAACAGUCUGGAGUCCUUGAAAUGCCGGGUUUGAUGUACAUUAACACACCUGCUGUUGUAACAACUGCAGUAGGUCAAAUGGCAAUUUCUAAGGGACGAAGGAAGGGAAGCACAACAUUAAAGUCUUGGGAUCAUCCCUUUUCUUUUUUCCCAGGUUUAUUUGGCAAAUAUGUGUCUUAAAGGAGUUGAUACUGAUGCACUAGUCACUGCAUAUGAGCUCGUUGUUAUAAACCCAUUUAGUGAAAGCGCAGGCACAGUUGGCGCCAGGAUGGCUGUUUCGGCUGAACAAGCUGGAUGUAUCCCCAUGGACGAUGUAUUCAGACUAGCUGUAACAAGCUUCAAGGUUUAUGACUGGCGUCUUUUUGGUGCAGCAAGUUGAGACUCCUCUAUUAUCUAGAGUAUUAUCUGGAGUGGGACUUCAGCCAUUAGUUUGAAAAUAGUAGUUGCUGCUAUUCACAAUUUAGAUCAUUGUGUAUAUUCCUUAUAGGGUUUGCUUCUAUUAUGCCAGAACUACUUUAGUUGUUUUUCUUUUGGUAUUUAGUUAUAUUCUAUCUUGUUAUCAUGAACUUGAUGGGAUGGAUUGCAGGUAACUAGUACCUGGAGAGAAUAAUAUUUUGGUUAGAAAUGUCAGUGACUUUUUCAGUUUUUGGAUGUGAUAGAUUCUGAUGUACUCUUUUUUUAAUUCUCAAGGUUCAUAAUUCACUCUUUUUUAAGUG